UACGGGGGGAGCAAGCGUUGUUCGGAUUUACUGGGCGUAAAGGGCGCGUAGGCGGUCAGCACAAGUCAGUUGUGAAAUCUCCGGGCUUAACUCGGAAAGGUCAACUGAUACUGUGCGACUAGAGUGCGGAAGGGGCAACUGGAAUUCUCGGUGUAGCGGUGAAAUGCGUAGAUAUCGAGAGGAACACCUGCGGCGAAGGCGGGUUGCUGGGCCGGCACUGACGCUGAGGAGCGAAAGCGUGGGGAGCGAACAGG
rnacentral:rRNA from 1 species